ACUCACCAGGUCAGGACACGGUAAGGAUUGACGGACUGAAGGCUCUUUCUCGAUUCCGUGGAAAGUGGUGCAUGGCCGUUUUUGGUUGGUGGAUCGAUCCGUCUGGUUAAUUCCGUUAACGAACGAGACCUCGGCACUCCGAAUAGCGCGGCGGACGUCGCGGCCUCCGGGCCGUCUUCCGCCACGAGCUUCUUAGAGGGACCGUCCCCCGCCGGGGAAGGAGGUGCGAGGCAACGACAGGUCUGUGAUGCCCUUAGAUGUUCUGGGCCGCACGCGCAUUACACUGACGCGUCCAACGGGUGACUCCCGACCCGAAGGGGCCGGGGAAUCCGCAAGGCGCGUCGUGAUGGGGAUUGAACGUUGCAAUUGUUGUUCACGAACGAGGAAUUCUUAGUAGGCGCGGGUCAUCAACCCGCGCCGAUUACGUCCCUGCCCUUUGUACACACC
rnacentral:rRNA from 1 species